rnacentral:rRNA from 1 species
GUUCAAGUCGUUCGGUCUAUUAGGAUGCCUCAGCUGCAUACAUUACUGCACUUCCACUUGGCAACUAUCGUAAUGAUUAACGGCUCGUCUCGCCUCGACCUUA